AACAGUGUCAGGAUAAUCCGUAUGGAUUUAAUGGUGUGGUGGUGUUUGGAGAUGAAACCUAUGGCAUGACCCCAGGAUGUAUCCCAGAUAUGACUGGCUACAAUCAACACCUAACUAGAAGCGGAAAUGGCUGUAGUUCUGGAGUCAUCAAUGCAGACAGCUGGAAUGAUGCUCAAGCAUCUCGUCAAAUGCUACCAGUGGUUCUAUGAGAAGAGAGAAGAUCAUACCACAACUUUAACAAUAACAACACAGAAUAUCAGUCACACUAUUUCCACCGGAAAUGCUAGACCAUCCGGGAACCUUUGGGAUACUCAUUUUAACAUAAUACAAUUUGGGACACGCACACUAAUCCUUAUUUAGAAUAUGAUUUAAGACAUAUAGUAUGUACAUUGAGAUAACAGGAUGCAGCAAGAGUUAUCAUUACUGUCAUCUUUAUAUUUGUUCUUGGUGUGACCGGGCCUUUAGUAAGAAUGGGCAUUUAGUACUGUAUAGUGUUUAAAUCGGUACAGUAUCC